rnacentral:rRNA from 1 species
UACGAGGGGGGCGAGCAUUGUUCGGAAUUAUUGGGCGUAAAGGGUGCGUAGGCGGUUUGGUAAGUCUGAUGUGAAAUCUAUGGGCUCAACUCAUAGUCUGCAUCGGAAACUGCCGGGCUUGAGUGUGGGAGAGGUGAGUGGAAUUCCUGGUGUAGCGGUGAAAUGCGCAGAUAUCGGGAAGAACACCUAUGGCGAAGGCAGCUCUCUGGGACGGUACUGACGCUGAGACGCGAAAGCGUGGGGAGCGAACAGG